UGAGGGAAUAUUGGGUCAAUGGGGCGAGAGCCUGAACCAGCCAAGUAGCGUGCAGGACGACGGCCCUACGGGUUGUAAACUGCCUUUAUGAAGGAAUAAAGUCACCCACGUGUGGGUGUUUGCAUGUACUUUAUGAAUAAGGACCGGCUAAUUCCGUGCCAGCAGCCGCGGUAAUACGGAAGGUCCGGGCGUUAUCCGGAUUUAUUGGGUUUAAAGGGAGCGUAGGCCGCCUGGUAAGCGUGUUGUGAAAUGUCGUUGCUCAACAACGUCACUGCAGCGCGAACUGCCGGGCUUGAGUGUGCGGAAAGCGGGCGGAAUUUGUGGUGUAG
rnacentral:rRNA from 1 species